UUAUAUGACCAUAGUAUUAGUUAGUUCCACGAAUCAGACUAGCGAGGUUUUCAAACCAAUCUCAAACUUCCCAUACAAUCUAGCUUAAAUAAAUGAAUCAAGUACACAUAUAAAUAUUUAUUAUGUAGCAGCAACAGCUUGACAACAUUGUUCUAGUGCACUACGAUGUUCUUUCUAUACAAAGUUGUUAUAACAUUGACAUAUACAGAUGCUGAUUAUAUAUAAACACACAAAUGGAAACCCGUGAAUUAAGAAACUGAAAGUAUCUAAUCUUAUAUAAAGAGGCUCUAUAGAAGGGGUGGAGAAUGCAUGAUCACGAUAGGUAUUUACAGGCGAAACUAAGUUUUUAUAAUGAACGCUUGUACUUAGAGACCCGCAAUGCUUCCCUCAUUGCAAUAAAUAAAUAUGAGCAAGUUAUUAUGCAUUGACGGUUUCCUUUGAAAGUUUUCAGGCAUAGUAAUAUACAUGUAUAAUAAUUAUUUCAUAGUUCUAUUAAUAACACCCUAUAUCCGGGCAUAUAAAAGAAAGUAUUCAACAUUAUUUCUAAAAUCUCUCAAUUUCAACUUGAGAAUAAACAACUUCAACUCAAACACAUUCCACAAUUUGUGAGAUAGAAUCUUUUCUGUAAAAAUGGGACAAACAGAAAGUUUCUCAAAAGGAAGUUCUGUUUCAAGCAGUAGUUACACAGUUAAGGACCCCGAAGGGACUCACACUGCCACGUGUAUUACCGGAAGUAGUGGCUGGAUGAACAGUUCUUAUGAAGAACAUUGCCCUGGCUGCCGAGGUCAAAGGGCAAAUUCAGCAUGGGGCGAAAGUUCUUCUGGAAAUAUGGGGAGUGAUAUCAUUGGCAUUCUCAGCAUUGGCAAGAAGUAAACUGAGACUGUAAACCGGAAGCGGAAAUUACUUUAUCACAUGACUUUCAUUUAUGUGUGACGAAUAGUUUGGACAUUCUACACUGUAAAUCUCUAAAUUAUCGUAAAAGCGAUGAAAUAGUAGGGGAUACCAAAACGCUGGUAAACAGAUACGCAUAUGAAAUAUUGAAAUAUAAAGAAAAUUCGAUAUGAAUGACUUUAAUUUAUACAAUAAAUGGUGACAUUUGUGUUAAAUAUAUACGGAAUUCUGCAAACAAGUUGCAAAUUGUUAUUUUUAAUGUUUAAGCUUUACAAUAUUUUAAAGCUAAUAGAAAUCGUUGGUAAGGAAAUAACUUGUAUCAUUAGGAAUUUUGACGGUAAAGAUAUUAACAUUACUACUGUUCAGUUUUCUACCUAGUAAAGGGAACGCAUCACGGCCAUUACUGAUAUAUUGUAUAUAUGCUUCUUUUGCUCAACUUCAUGUUCUUUUUGUCAAGUUUUAUAAUCCAACAAAAACAACACACUCUAUAUUUGUCACUGUAUGUUUUUUACUGUUUGUAAACUUUUAGAGGUUAUGGUAUUCGAUGUGACUGACAAAGUUAUAUUGUUGCAAAAAAUAAAUUACUCAAAUAUACAA